rnacentral:tRNA from 1 species
GCAAUGAUGGUUCAAUGGUAGAAUUCUUGCCUUCUACACAGGAGAACCUGGUUUGAUUCCCAGCCAAUGCA